rnacentral:rRNA from 1 species
UAACACAUGCAAGUCGAGCGAGAAAGUGUAGCAAUACAUGAGUACAGCGGCGCACGGGUGAGUAACACGUGGAUAACCUGCCUCAAAGUGGGGAAUAACACCGGGAAACCGGUGCUAAUACCGCAUAUUCUGACGAGAUCUGCGGAUUUUGUCAGGAAAGGAGCAAUUCGCUAUGAGAGGGGUCCGCGGCUGAUUAGCUAGUUGGUGAGGUAAUGGCUCACCAAGGCAACGAUCAGUAGCCGGUCUGAGAGGACGGUCGGCCACACUGGAACUGAGACACGGUCCAGACUCCUACGGGAGGCAGCAGUGGGGAAUUUUUCGCAAUGGGGGAAACCCUGACGAAGCAAUGCCGCGUGGAUGAUGAAGUAUUUCGGUACGUAAAAUCCUUUCGACAGGGACGAAACCGCAAGGUUGACGGUACCUGUAGAAGAAGCCCCGGCUAACUCCGUGCCAGCAGCCGCGGUAAUACGGGGGGGCAAGCGUUGUUCGGAAUUACUGGGCGUAAAGGGUGCGUAGGCGGCUUUCUAAGUUGGAUGUGAAAACUCUGGGCUCAACCCAGAGCCUGCAUCCAAAACUGGAGAGCUUGGGUUCUGGAGGGGAAAGCGGAAUUCCUGGUGUAGCGGUGAAAUGCGUAGAUAUCAGGAGGAACACCGGUGGCGAAGGCGGCUUUCUGGACAGAUACCGACGCUGAGGCACGAAAGCUAGGGGAGCAAACAGGAUUAGAUACCCUGGUAGUCCUAGCCCUAAACGAUGGAUACUUGCUGUGAGGGGGAUUGAAACCCUUUGAGGCGAAGCUAACGCAUUAAGUAU